UUAACACUUUUUAAAAACCAACCAACCAAUUAUUUGGCAAUCACUACAGAGCAUCUCUUUGCAUUAGCAUAACAUUAUAUGGAUUCUUAUAUGCAUAAAUAAGGUAGACAUAGUCACAGUUGCAGUUUGGCUCUGUAAAGCCCCUGCUCAACCACUGUCUGUUUCCUACUACCCCUGCUGAAAAAUUAGGGUUGAUCAUGUGUAUUUCUGCUUACAUUA